rnacentral:lncRNA from 1 species
GGCUAUAUAUAAAAAUAAAUAUUCAUUAAGCAAUUGCAAUAAUCAUGUAUAGAUCUAGUACAUUACAAACAAUACUAAAAAAUAUUGUGUUUACAGUUCCCAAAUUAAAGUAACUAGAUAUCCAUAACCCUGUUUUCUUAAAAGAAAAAUAUUACAUUCCUCACAAGAUCUACAAAAUGCAGCCAUCUUGUUGGUUACUUCAAUAAUCAUGCCAAAGCCAGGGAGAGUUGGAGAGUGGAACCUUUUCACGAACCUUCCUUGACUACAAUAUCAAAAUAAUUGAAACAAUUUCAUAAAUCAUUUUAGUGUCUUAUUCAAAACAAGGACAAUAACAAAGAUAAAGAUAAAAAUAUUCCACCAUAUGUGUUACAAAAUUUCACAAACACUUGAAUAAUUUCAUAAAUCCUUUUACUAACCUUGCAAAAUCGUUGUGUAACAAAAUUUAGCAAAAAAUAUUCUGCCAUAUGUACUCUGCCUAUUCCAUUCUUGCUUCAUCAAUAUCCUCUUGGGUGUAACUACCUCGUCCAACAAACUAUAUCAUAUACAAAACAGUCAAUAUUAAUAUAUGCAUCAACAUUAUCAAAUCUAUAAAUUUUAAAAGGAUAAGUAAAUGACUACCGAGUUUUUCUCCAUGCAAAAUCCAAUUAUUAUAACUUUCAUCUAUAUUAUUCAUCAACAGUUUGAUGCUUCAUGUUUCCAUAUUUCAUAUAUGAACAUAGUAUGUGAUUAGAAUUCUUUGCAUGAAUCAUUGCAAAAUUUAGAAAUCUUCCAACACCAAUCUCAUUAUCUUUUGAUCUUCGAUCCAUGACAUCCAACAUAUGUCAAUUCUGAAUGCAAAAUAUUAAUAUAUCAUACUAAAAUACUUUACAUAAUCUCUUCAUGAUUGUCGAUGUCCUAAUUUGAGAAAAGUAAAACGUAGGACCUUGAUAUUAUUAUCCUAGCUGAAUCACAUCAAUAAACAUUGAUUUACUAAAGCACAUAACACAAUAGAUUGAACAAAGCUUGUCAGACACAGAGUGUCAGAGACUAAAGCACAAAAAAUCAAUAGCUACGGCUGAGCAUAUAAAAUAUUUUGGUAUUUGUAUCUUCCUUAAAAUAUGCACAUAUAAACAUUACAAACUCCUUAUUUUCAAUAUUUGUUAGUCAAACAUGAAUAAAUUAAAUAAACCAAAAAAGAAAAAACAGCACAUGUAGACCACCCACAAACAAAUAAUCUAUCACUUUUUUUCACAAGCAUUUUUUUUUUUUUUUUGUGAAACACAAACAUAGAUUUUAUUAACCAUCAUAAUAAGAGUACAAGAAGUAUAGUAAGAGAUCACUUUACCGAUUUAGUUCUCAAUUUAUAGAAACAUCAUUACAAUACAUAAUUGAUGCAGCCUUUACUUGCACACUGAAGAACAAGAUGAAUUAAGUUUACAUAUCUAUACAAGGACAUCUCUAUAAUAAUGUGCACAAUAACUUAGAGCUAUAUGAGAUAUGCCUUCUCAACUCCUUUUAAUUUCUCUCUAUCACUAGAUUUAACUCUUCCAACCGGUACAACAAUGGAUCCUUUGCAAAGAUCAAAAUUUUGAGGCUUGAGAUUUUCCAGAGUUGAACUAUGAAAGCUUCAAAUCUUGAAUCAAUCCACCACAUAACAACUGAAAUAAACAAAAGCCAUCACAAAUCGACUAGAUAAACAACCAUAAAGUGAGAUUUGGGUGGAGAGAAACAGUCCUAGAUUUUAGAUCUAGAUGGAUUUAAAACCGCUCAUUAAGAGGGAAGAAAAAAAAACUAUAAAAAUAAAAGUGAAAAAAAAAAUCGCCCAGCAUAGAGAACGAAGCAAAUGUUCACAAGCAUGAUUAAACAACAGAAAAAGAAAAUACCUUUUAUGUGGAGACGAAAACUUUUAAAAUCCAAGAUGGAAGGUGGACGAAUGCAUCAAUAUUUUACUUGUUAGUGUUGUGGUCCCAAGUUUUACAAUUUUCUCCUUAAAAUGCGUGGUCCAGAGCUUUAAGAUUUCUUCUUUCUCCUCGCUUCAACCAUUUGUGAAUAGUUAGGGUUUAAUAUUUUGGGGCUGUAUAAAUAAUGGGUGAGAUUAGGGGUUUACAACUUGGAAAUUGAAGAUAAGAAGAUGUUUUAUGUGGGGGAAAGGGAAUUUUACGGACAAAUAUCGUGAAAUUUCAGAAUAAUUGAGGGAGACAGAGAGAGUUGGUAUUUCGUUGGAGACGGGAAAAUAAAAAGGGAAGGUUGAGUUUUUAUACUUUAAAAUAAAUG